rnacentral:rRNA from 1 species
AGAGUUUGAUCCUGGCUCAGGACGAACGCUGGCGGCGUGCCUAACACAUGCAAGUCGAGCGAUGAAAUCCUUCGGGAUGGAUUAGCGGCGGACGGGUGAGUAACACGUGGGUAACCUGCCUCAAAGAGGGGGAUAGCCUCCCGAAAGGGAGAUUAAUACCGCAUAACAUUAGUUUUUCGCAUGGAAGACUAAUUAAAGGAGAAAUCCGCUUUGAGAUGGACCCGCGGCGCAUUAGCUAGUUGGAGAGGUAAAGGCUCACCAAGGCGACGAUGCGUAGCCGACCUGAGAGGGUGAUCGGCCACAUUGGAACUGAGACACGGUCCAGACUCCUACGGGAGGCAGCAGUGGGGAAUUUUGGACAAUGGGGGCAACCCUGAUCCAGCAAUGCCGCGUGUGUGAAGAAGGCCUUCGGGUUGUAAAGCACUUUUGUCCGGAAAGAAAACGCCGUGGUUAAUACCCGUGGCGGAUGACGGUACCGGAAGGAUAAGCACCGGCUAACUACGUGCCAGCAGCCGCGGUAAU